GAAGCAGCACAGCGCUCAUUCUGUAAAUGCAGAGUUAAACAGAUGUGUUUUUAAUCUUGAUUUAAAAGUGUCUACUGUUGAAGCACAUCUGAUCUCUUCUGGAAGCUGAUUCCAGCUCUAGGUGGCAUAAUAAUUAAAUGCUGAUGCACCUUGUUUUGAGUGAACCCUUAGUAUCUCUAACUGACCUGAUCCUAAUGAUCUGAGUAGUCUGCUUGGUUUAUAUUCAAUUAGCAUAUCUGUAAUGUAUUUCAGUCCAAAAGCCAUGACUUGAUUUAUAAACGAGUAACAAUACUUUAAAAUCUAUUCUAAAUGUAACUGAAAGCCAGUGUAAGGACCUGAGGACUGGAGUGAUGUGCUCAGACUAAUGCUCUUUUUGGGGAUCCCAGUAAGGAGUCCAUUGCAAUAAUCCAUCAUUGCAAUAAUCCAUUUGUAUCUGUUUUCGUUUGCUCUGUAUAGGUAUUCGGUUACAUCCCUAAUUUCCAUAUCGAGCCUGAAUGUGUCUUUUUUUAAUGCUUGCUUAAAUAAAUUCUCCAGAAAGGACUUAGAGUCGAGGUCAUACGUUUACAGACGCCUUGCGGAACCAGCAAAAUGUUAAUUUCAAGGAAAAUUUGUUUAUUUAUUUUUAAAGAUCUUUUACAUAACAGGCAAAAUAGUAACUGAAUUUACAGAAAAGAACUAAUACAAAGGUUUACACACGCUUGUUUCUUAGUACUGUGUGUGUUAAAGCCUGGAUGAUCAGCAAAGUAUUUUUAUGUUUCUUUACAGUUUUUCAUGAGUCCCUUGUUUGUCAUGAGCAGUCAUACAGACCACUGUGCCUUCCUAAAUCCUCCUGGUCUUUUCCAGCAUCUUCUGCAUAUCUAAUCUCUUCCCAGCAGCGACUCAAUGAUGUUGAGGACAACCGAGGGACUUUUGAAAAAGAUGGCAGCAACCUUCAUUAAAAGCACAUUCCCAAGCCCCUGCUUCUGCCUCCAGAACUUAACCCUCGACUCCCCAGAUUGGAAAAUUGGGGUUCAUGCGAAUGUGGCAAGAGUGUAUUGUGUCCAGACCAAUAAGCGAUGUGUUUUAAGCUGGCCUUGGUGAUGGUGGAUCCAGAAAUUACAUGAACACAUUCCCACUUGUUCACCAGAGAACUUAGAGGAACAUCCGUUACACACAUGGAGAUCAGCAGCAGCAGUUUAUUGAAAACCAACGACCAUGCCGAACUCACUGAGCUCACCAUUGAGGAUGGCGUAGAAGUGAUUUCUAACAUUUAAACAUUGCCGGUAUGUGCUGUAUUUGUGAACUGACCUUGAUUCCGAUCACACCGUAUAACUAACUGCAUUGCUAAUGAUCUCAUUUAGAUUCCGUGGUACAAACUGGUACAAACACCUUAC